GCUGGCAAUGUCCGGCCACCGACUGACCGACCGCACACAAACAAAAUCAGUUUGCAUAUGAUGACGACUACAAUGCGCUUGUUGGCGUAUGCAGACGUUGGCGACGGACUGGCAUUUCGACCUAGAUUUUUCCAAGAAAUGUCAAUGAAUUUACUACGUAAUUUACGUAUGAGUAAACAUUUUCGCCGUUUUAUGGUGAUUUUCUCCAACACUAUCCAUCCACCCACACAUGAGUACCAGCCGCAGAUUUCCCUUGGAGUGCUGCUGUAUUGUGCUACCAUAAAAAAAUAAUUGAAUGAAUUUUCAUUUUUAAUUGUGGUAAAGUGCUAACUCUAUUAAAAUUAUUUGACAAUUACUACGGCUGCAAUUGCUGCUGCUGCACACCCCGAUAAAAAGCGGAUAAAUACAAUAAAGUUACAAGAAUGGAGGAUUCUCUUAAUGUCGGCAAACCUCGGAAACGCCAUGAUUUGCGUACCUGCAUCUAGAAUAUCCGAAAUCUCUGUAAAGUACAAGGCCAAAGAGGAAGCGUCACAACAACACCAACGAGUCAGCAGAUCGCAUAAAUCACUACUCCAAAGGCAUGCCAAGUUGACCCUUAUGUUGUGUGUCCCUGCUCUUAGGGGUGUAACAGAAAACGAGAGGGCUUAUUUGAUUGUGAGUUUGUACCCAAAAUUUCGCUGGUCUUCGUAACUGAUAUUUACCAGUUUCACUGAGAACUAAGCGGCACGGCAGGGCGUGACCACACGAACAUCGGGCGAGUGACAAGGCUGGGAGCAGAGAUAUAGCGCGAAGACUGUUUUGCAUACCAUCACCGCUCACAUUUGUCGUGGCUUCAAGCAGUUCUUCUCAUGUUUUAGGACGGCCCUCGAGUCAAUUGACAUAUGGAAAGCAGCCAAAACUACUAGACUCAGAACCAGAUUGCUCUGGACGGAUAUUCAACCGAACCAAGAAGAGAAUAUAUAGAACAUAACACACAACAAAACAUCAAGGCAGCGGGAGCCGGCGGGCUACUAAUUGAAAUAUUUAAGGCGGGACGCUGAAGCACUCUACCACAAGGAAUUUAAAUAAAUUAACUUCCUUGACCCAUGGACUCAUUAAUUCUAUUCUAUUAGUUGUAUUCUAGUAAGGUUCUAAGUGUUCCUCACUGUUUGGAUGAUUUGAAAAUGAAACUAGGUGACUAAAAAAUUUCGAUGGAAUUUUCAAGUGUUGUAGAAUGCAAACUUUCGUGGUACAAAAACAAGACACGAAUAUUCUAAAACAUCAGUGAUGAGAGAAAAAACUGCAAACCAAUUAAAUAGCCAGGCAAAGAACAUAUGAAAAAUAAAUCUAAUAAGUUACGCAAA